AAAUCGCAAAGAAAAACACCAAU
rnacentral:snRNA from 1 species